rnacentral:rRNA from 1 species
AAAGCCUGAUCCAGCCAUGCCGCGUGCAGGAUGAAGGCCUUACGGGUUGUAAACUGCUUUUGUACGGAACGAAAGACUACUGGUUAAUACCUGGGUCCAUGACGGUACCGUAAGAAUAAGCACCGGCUAACUACGUGCCAGCAGCCGCGGUAAUACGUAGGGUGCAAGCGUUAAUCGGAAUUACUGGCGUAAAGCGUGCGCAGGCGGUUAUAUAAGACAGAUGUGAAAUCCCCGGGCUCAACCUGGGAACUGCAUUUGUGACUGUAUAGCUAGAGUACGGCAGAGGGGAUGGAAUUCCGCGUGUAGCAGUGAAAUGCGUAGAUAUGCGGAGGAACACCGAUGGCGAAGGCAAUCCCCCUGGGCCUGUACUGACGCUCAUGCACGAAAGCGUGGGGAGCAAACAGGAUUAGAUACCCUGGUAG